AGGUCAAGUGAAGAAGGGCGCACGGUGAAUGCCUUGGCACUGGAAGCCGAUGAAGGACGCGACUAACCGCGAAAGUCUUCGGGGAGCCGUAAGUAGGCUUUGAUCCGGAGGUCUCCGAAUGGGGGAACCCAGCAUGUGCAGACAUGCUAUCCUUAAGUGAAUACAUAGCUUAAGGAGGGAACACGCAGUGAACUGAAACAUCUAAGUAGCUGCAGGAAGAGAAAGAAAUAUCGAUUUCCCAAGUAGCGGCGAGCGAACAGGAAAGAGCCCAAACCGGCAGAUUUAUCUGCCGGGGUUGUAGGACUGAGACA
rnacentral:rRNA from 1 species